CAGCAGCCGCGGUAAUACGUAGGUGGCAAGCGUUGUCCGGAAUUAUUGGGCGUAAAGGGCUCGCGGGCGGUUUCUUAAGUCUGAUGUGAAAGGCCCCCGGCUCAACCGGGGAGGGUCAUUGGAAACUGGGAAACUUGAGUGCAGAAGAGGAGAGUGGAAUUCCACGUGUAGCGGUGAAAUGCGUAGAGAUGUGGAGGAACACCAGUGGCGAAGGCGACUCUCUGGUCUGUAACUGACGCUGAGGAGCGAAAGCGUGGGGAGCGAACAGGAUUAGAUACCCGCGUAGUCCCUGUCUCUUAUA
rnacentral:rRNA from 1 species